GUGUGUGUGUGUUAGAAAGAGAGGAGAGAGGGAGAGAGGGAGAGAGAUGCCCCCCUCCCUCCCUCCCUCCUCCCUCCCUUUCUCUCCCUACCUCUGU